UACGUAGGGUGCAAGCGUUGUCCGGAAUUAUUGGGCGUAAAGAGCUCGUAGGCGGUUUGUCGCGUCUGCUGUGAAAACUCCGGGCUUAACCCCGGGCCUGCAGUGGGUACGGGCAGACUAGAGUGCGGUAGGGGAGACUGGAAUUCCUGGUGUAGCGGUGAAAUGCGCAGAUAUCAGGAUGAACACCGGUGGCGAAGGCGGGUCUCUGGGCCGGUACUGACGCUAAGGAACGAAAGCGUGGGGAGCGAACAGG
rnacentral:rRNA from 1 species